GAGGGAGGGAGGGGCAUAGGGGGCUAGCUGAACCACCCUUGACUCCCGUCAUCUCCAGGCGAUGCGUGGCGACGGUUUAUGGGGCCCCUAUGUCGGUUAUGGAAGAUUCCCCGGAUAUUCCAUAGCAGAACCGCCUCCAAGCUCCUAUAAAUAGAGUAGCUCUCCCCUCUCUCUCAUACACACCACAAGUUGAAAAACUCUCUCCCUCGUAGUUUCCAAGUUAGUGUAGUUAGGCUGGAGUAGCUCUACUUCAGGGUUUCAUGUCUUCUUGGAGUUCAGA
rnacentral:lncRNA from 1 species